rnacentral:rRNA from 2 species
AGCUUGUGUGUUAGUGGAACGGUCUGGAAAGUCCGACGGUACAGGGUGAUAGUCCCGUACACCAAAAUGCACAGGUUGUGAACUCGAAGAGUAGGGCGGGACACGUGGUAUCCUGUCUGAAUAUGGGGGGACCAUCCUCCAAGGCUAAAUACUCCUGACUGACCGAUAGUGAACCAGUACCGUGAGGGAAAGGCGAAAAGAACCCCGGCGAGGGGAGUGAAAAAGAACCUGAAACCGUGUACGUACAAGCAGUGGGAGCACCUUCGGGUGUGACUGCGUACCUUUUGUAUAAUGGGUCAGCGACUUAUAUUCUGUAGCAAGGUUAACCGUAUAGGGGAGCCGCAGGGAAACCGAGUCUUAACUGGGCGUUAAGUUGCAGGGUAUAGACCCGAAACCCGGUGAUCUAGCCAUGGGCAGGUUGAAGGUUGGGUAACACUAACUGGAGGACCGAACCGACUAAUGUUGAAAAAUUAGCGGAUGACUUGUGGCUGGGGGUGAAAGGCCAAUCAAACCGGGAGAUAGCUGGUUCUCCCCGAAAGCU